UCAGUGUUACGGAUUUUAUGAAAUACUAGCUGUCAGAGAUGCUCACGGGUCGAGCAUAGUCGAACCCCGAUGUUUUUUUCUUUUUAAGAACAUGACAUAUGUCCAUUUGUUAGUCCGACAAGAGCCAGCUUAUAGAAAUACACCGGACUUUCGGGUGAGCGCUUAAGGCGCCUUUAAACCCCCCGAUGACACCCAGCAAUCCUUUAAUAAGCAACCCGAAAACAAUAUAUACAUCGCAUUCGACACGUUCUGCUGGAUCACGUUAUUUCUGGCGACGUUCUUGAGCACUGUUAUGGACACGAAGCUGCUGCUCAUGUCUAUGCGGACCCAGGUGGCAGUGCAACGGAGUUACCGGGAGACAAAUGCCAGGGCUUCUUCCAAUGGUCAGAGGCACCGGAGCUACGACGAAUCGUUGAGCCAAGCUCUUAACGAGGUGUUUCACUCCUAUAUCACUAUGGUUAUUGAUAAUGACUAACAUUUAUACGAUGUAAAACAUUGCAUGAAUUAACCUUUGAAGUACAAUAAUUUACUGACAAGCAGAGUACCAGAUAUAAAAUUCCGUCGAAUAAUGUUGAACAUUUUGGAUGAUAUUUAUGGUAAACAGUAAAUUUUAUAAGAUAAGAAAAUUGGUUGACUGAUUUUAAAUGCCAGUGUCUGUACUCUCUGGACUUAAAAUAAUGACGCUUUGCAUAGUAAAUGUAAUUACAAUGUUAUUAAAGCAAGAAUAAAAAAGUACAAUUGCUACUUGGCCGCUUGAAAAUUUAUAAAACAGUACUAUACGCACAGGCGCCUGAAUCACACUUAUAGAGCAUACUUAAAUAAAGAAUUUUACUGAUUCG